rnacentral:lncRNA from 1 species
UUCCCGCAGUCCCUACCACGCCGCCGGCUCCCGGAGAGCUCCCGGGCGCGGGAAAACACUUCAUUUUCCUUCUUUUUUUUCCUUUGUUUUUAUUCGAACAUUGCAGAAAUAGCCCUGUGUAGUGGAUCCAAGUGCAACAGAGACAAUAUUUCAGAAUAGGAGACAGGGAAAAAGGGAAAACCCAGCCUCGAGGUCCGGCUCGGCGUCGGAAACGGCCGGCGAUGCCCUCGCGCGGAGCGGCUGCGUUUGGGGGGGGGGGGGGUUCCCUUUUCCCUCGCACAUCAUGCAAAAAUAUUAAAAAAUAGAUAUAUAGAAAAGAGAAGUCAAAGCAAAAAAAAAAAAUCCCCCGGCGAGCUCGAUGGAGACGCCGAGAUACCGGGAGACCCCCAGAAAUAACCAGAAAGCCCAAAACGCCACUUUACGUGGCCUCCAAAAGCACGGAAAGGAGGGAGGAAAGAGGCUGCCGCUUGGCAUCGCGAGGGAUUUGGCACUCUGUGAUUACAUUAGAUUUUUUUUCUUGCCGUUACUCUAUUUUUUCCCUUUUUAAUACAGUCUAUUAAAGAGAAUAAACCGCCACGAUAUACAUCAUGUCAUUUCUCCAACAUCCAAAGAUGCUUCGCUGGCGGGUUUUUCCUUUUCUUUUCCUUUUUUUCCCCCCCCUUUUUGGGGGGGCCUUUUCCGCCAGGUUUUUCAGCACGUCGUCGAUCCUGUCGUCUUCGAUGACCACUGGAAAAGCGGAGAAACGCGGCGGUGAAUUCACGGGGGCGGCGGAGACUCCGUCACCCCCCCCCCCCGGACAAGGGUGCCCCGGAACGGCCCGGGAAAUGCCCCCCAGCCUGGAAAAUACCCGGGUCCRGGGGGGUUCUGCAGCCCCGAAAAUACCCGGGGCCUUGGAAAAUACCCGGUGCCCGAGGGAGCUCCUACACCCUGGAAAAUACCCGGUGCCUUGGAAAAUAUCCGAGGGGGGUCCUACAGCCCCGAAAAUGCCCAGUGCCUUGGAAAAUACCCGGGGGGGGGGUCCUACAUCCCCAAAAAUACCCGGUUCCUUGGAAAAUACCCGGAGGGGCGUCCUACAGCCCCGAAAAUAUCCAGUACCCUGGCAAAUACCCGAGGGGGGUCCUACAGCCCCGAAAAUGCCCGGUGCCUUGGAAAAUACCCGAGGGGGGGCCCCUACAGCCCUGAAAAUACCCGGUGCCCUGGAAAAUACCCGGUGCCCGAGGGAGCUCCUACACCCUGGAAAAUGCCCGAUGCCUUGGAAAAUACCCGGUGCUCGGGGGGGCUCCUACACCCCGGAAAUGCCCGAUGCCCUGGAAAAUACCCAGCGGGGGGGAUCCUACAGCCCUGAAAAUACCCAAUGCCCAGGAAAAUACCCGGGGGGGGGGUCCUACAGCCCCGAAAAUACCCGAUGCCCUGGAAAAUACCCGGAGGGGGUUCCUACACCCCGUAAAACACCCAAUGCCUUGGAAAACACCCGAGGGGGGCCCUACAGCCCGGAAAACACCCGAUGCCUUGGAAAAUACCCGAGGUGGGGGGUCCUACAGCCCCAAAAAUGCCCCRAGUCCUGGAAAAUAUCGGAUGCCCAGAAAGAUGCCCGGUGCCCUGGGAAAUAUGCGGUGCCCGGYGGGGGGGUCCUACACCCCGGAAAAUACCCAGUUCCUUGGAAAAUACCCGAGGGGUGAUCCUACAGCCCGGAAAACACCCGAUGCCCUGGAAAAUACUCGGAGGGGGGUCCUAGAGCCCUGAAAACACCCAGCGCCCUGGAAAAUACCGGAUACCCGGGAAAUAUGCGGUGCCCGGUGUGUGUGUGUGGGGGGGGUCCUACAGCCUCGAAAAUACCCGGUUCCUUGGAAAAUACCCGAGGGGUGAUCCUACAGCCCAGAAAACACCCGAUGCCCUGGAAAAUACCCGAGGGGGGUCCUGCAGCCCCCAAAAUACCUGAUGCCCUGGAAAAUACCUGGAGGGGGGUCCUACAGCCCCGAAAACACCCAAUGCCUUGGAAAAUACCCGAGGGGGGAGUCCUUCAGCCCCAAAAACACCCAAUGCCUUGGAAAAUACCCGAGGGGGGGUCCUUCAGCCCCGAAAACACCCGAUGCCUUGGAAAAUAUCCGGUGCCCGGAAAGAUGCCCGGUGCCCCAGGAAAUACACGGUGCCCGGCGGGGGGGUCCUACAGCCCCGAAAACACACGAUGCCUU